CAUCCCUACUUCAAAGUAAUGCUUGUGCUGGUGCUGUCGCUGUUUCUUCUGAAAGCCAAAGCAAGAACAAAAUAAAUGCUCUAGAAUAUAUUCAAGAAAUUUUAAAGUUUGAAAUUAACAGACACUUCUGCUAAAAUCGGCCUUUCGGAGUGCAAUUUUUUGCUAAAACGAUGUGUUUCAGUCCCAAAUUUAAUACUCAAGUGGCGGAAAAAAGAUCCUGCAAAUAUAUAGUUUAAUUAUUAUCAAUGAUUGAAACUGAAAAUUUUGAAAACUCUACCAAUAGAUAUAUAGUACUUACAAACAGGCUCAGAAUAUAUUAUGU